rnacentral:lncRNA from 13 species
AACGCGAGAUGAAAAUGGACGCUCUACGAAACUACAAAAGGAUGCACCAGGAUGCACAUCGGCUAGAAUGUAUAUAAAUAAUUUAUUUGUACGGACACAAUCCGUCUAUAAAUAUACCGUUGACGAUGGGUAAUAUAAAUAAAAAAUCAAAGACUUGAAAUACGAUACAGCAGUAGAGCGUAUUACGAAUUACGAAUUACGACAUUGUUAACAGCGUCUUCCUGCACCUCGCGAUAAUCGAGCUCCAAGGCUGCCAGAUCUUCCCGAGCCUCUGAGAAUUCACCUUCCUCCAUGCCUUCCCCGACAAACCUAUAAGACUGGAGAACCUCCUCGUGUCCUUCAUUGGAGUUUGGUUUCAAAAUCACCCUCGGUAAAGUCUCAAACAGAAGAAUUUUGACAACUGGCAUAGACACAAUAACGCUAAACGGCAAACGACAAACGGCAUCGUUUAUGCGUAAUUUGGAUUUCUUACCAAUGGACGAAAGCUCGCUUGGCGUACAUGAGAUCAAACUUGUGAUCGAGUCGGGCCCAUGCGUCCACGAUCGCCGUUGUGUUGCAGAGACAACACACCGCUCUUUCCACCCGCGCGAGAUCUCCGCCCGGUACAACGGCUCGAGAUCGAUCAAAACUGCUCGUGGGACAUGCUUUCCUGAACCCGUUUCGGAGAAGAACGCGUUAAAGGAAUCGUCUCCUCCACCAAUGGUAACAUCUGAUGGCAUCUGUCCAUCUGGAUGAAUACCAUGUUCCAGACAAUAAAGCUCCCAGCAAGCGUUUCCCAUUUGCACGCCCGCUUGCCCUAUGUGGAUGGAUAUGCAUUCCCUCUGCGAACAAACACAAUAUAUUCCAAUGUCUCGACAGUAGUACAUGUGAAGAUAGAUCACUCCCACACAUCCCACAGUGAGAUGCUCAUCCCAAAUAAUACAAAUUUCUAAUUAAUCGCGCACAUGACUAAAAUCUAUCAAACGAGCUUAAUAAGCCUAACGAUUGACUGAGCAAGAACCGAGGAAAGCUUAACAAGGGAUGAUUACUGGUGACUUAGACGUCGUCAACUAAAGCAGUGUCUUUAUCACUGUCAACAAGAUCCGGUAGAAAAAUGUCACCUUGACCCGACGUGUCCUUGAUAAUUCAACUGUACCCUAAAAGUUGACACACUGUAACCAUAGCAGCUUAAUCGAAUAUCAAACUGCACACCCGCAUAUGACACGAUUGCACGCUUCACCAAA